GACGAACACUGGCGGCGUGCCUAAUACAUGCAAGUCGAGCGGACAGAAGGGAGCUUGCUCCCGGAAGUUAGCGGCGGACGGGUGAGUAACACGUGGGCAACCUACCCUGUAGAUCGGGAUAACAUCGAGAAAUCGGUGCUAAUACCGGAUAAUCAUUUGAAGUGCAUGCUUCGAAUGUAAAAGAUGGCUCCGGCUAUCACUACGGGAUGGGCCCGCGGCGCAUUAGCUAGUUGGUAAGGUAAUGGCUUACCAAGGCAACGAUGCGUAGCCGAGCUGAGAGGGUGAUCGGCCACACUGGGACUGAGACACGGCCCAGACUCCUACGGGAGGCAGCAGUAGGGAAUCUGCCGCAAUGGACGAAAGUCAGACGGAGCAACGCCGCGUGAGUGAUGAAGGUUUUCGGAUCGUAAAGCUCUGUUGUUAGGGAAGAACAAGUGCCGUUUGAAUAAGGCGGCACCUUGACGGUACCUAACCAGAAAGCCACGGCUAACUACGUGCCAGCAGCCGCCGUAACAC
rnacentral:rRNA from 1 species